AUAAAUAUGAAGGCUUGGUGUUGAAAGAGAUUUGACAACCUUAAUAAAUGUAUCCUUUUAUAUGACUAGAUAUUCGGUAAAAUUCAAUCGUGUAGGCACACCAUCUGACCUGCUGCAGAACCAAAAGCUAACAUGUCUCUGCUCCAUACUGAGCGUUAUUGAUCAAAAGUCUCGUCAAACAUCAUUUCCUGUAACAUUAAAAAGGGCAGAACAUGUCACUACUUAGUGGCCAGGUGAUGCAAAGUACAAGAUUUGGCACAGGGAAUAAAAGACAAGCAGAUUCAUAGGUGUAAUAGAAUAUACAGGGGCUUCAAGUAAAGCCCAAGUUCUUGCACAAUCUGCGUGACAGUUUGGGUCCAUAAUAUUAUUGGGUACAUUAAUUGGAUCCAAAAAGUCCAAGUCCAAAUCUUGUCCUAAUUAAAUCAAUGUAACCUGGGUGAAACUAUGCAGUA